rnacentral:rRNA from 1 species
GGGUUGUGAGGUUAAGCGACUAAGCGUACACGGUGGAUGCCCUGGCAGUCAGAGGCGAUGAAGGGCGUGCUAAUCUGCGAUAAGCGCCGGUAAGGUGAUAUGAACCGUUAUAACCGGCGAUACCCGAAUGGGGAAACCCAGUGUGACUCGUCACACUAUCAUUAACUGAAUCCAUAGGUUAAUGAGGCGAACCGGGGGAACUGAAACAUCUAAGUACCCCGAGGAAAAGAAAUCAACCGAGAUUCCCCCAGUAGCGGCGAGCGAACGGGGAGGAGCCCAGAGCCUGAAUCAGCAUGUGUGUUAGUGGAAGCGUCUGGAAAGGCGCGCGAUACAGGGUGACAGCCCCGUACACAAAAGCGCAUGUGCUGUGAGCUCGAUGAGUAGGGCGGGACACGUGGUAUCCUGUCUGAAUAUGGGGGGACCAUCCUCCAAGGCUAAAUACUCCUGACUGACCGAUAGUGAACCAGUACCGUGAGGGAAAGGCGAAAAGAACCCCGGCGAGGGGAGUGAAAAAGAACCUGAAACCGUGUACGUACAAGCAGUGGGAGCACAGGNNNNNNNNUGUGACUGCGUACCUUUUGUAUAAUGGGUCAGCGACUUAUAUUCUGUAGCAAGGUUAACCGAAUAGGGGAGCCGGAGGGAAACCGAGUCUUAAUUGGGCGUUAAGUUGCAGGGUAUAGACCCGAAACCCGGUGAUCUAGCCAUGGGCAGGUUGAAGGUUGGGUAACACUAACUGGAGGACCGAACCGACUAAUGUUGAAAAAUUAGCGGAUGACCUGUGGCUGGGGGUGAAAGGCCAAUCAAACCGGGAGAUAGCUGGUUCUCCCCGAAAGCUAUUUAGGUAGCGCCUCGUGAAUUCAUCUCCGGGGGUAGAGCACUGUUUCGGCUAGGGGGCCAUCCCGGCUUACCAACCCGAUGCAAACUGCGAAUACCGGAGAAUGUUAUCACGGGAGACACACGGCGGGUGCUAACGUCCGUCGUGAAGAGGGAAACAACCCAGACCGCCAGCUAAGGUCCCAAAGUCAUGGUUAAGUGGGAAACGAUGUGGGAAGGCCCAGACAGCCAGGAUGUUGGCUUAGAAGCAGCCAUCAUUUAAAGAAAGCGUAAUAGCUCACUGGUCGAGUCGGCCUGCGCGGAAGAUGUAACGGGGCUAAACCAUGCACCGAAGCUGCGGCAGCGACACUGUGUGUUGUUGGGUAGGGGAGCGUUCUGUAAGCCUGCGAAGGUGGCCUGUGAGGGUUGCUGGAGGUAUCAGAAGUGCGAAUGCUGACAUAAGUAACGAUAAAGCGGGUGAAAAGCCCGCUCGCCGGAAGACCAAGGGUUCCUGUCCAACGUUAAUCGGGGCAGGGUGAGUCGACCCCUAAGGCGAGGCCGAAAGGCGUAGUCGAUGGGAAACGGGUUAAUAUUCCCGUACUUGGUGUUACUGCGAAGGGGGGACGGAGAAGGCUAUGUUGGCCGGGCGACGGUUGUCCCGGUUUAAGCGUGUAGGUGUGUGUUCCAGGUAAAUCCGGUUCACUUUAACACUGAGGCGUGACGACGAGGCACUACGGUGCUGAAGCAACAAAUGCCCUGCUUCCAGGAAAAGCCUCUAAGCAUCAGGUAACAUCAAAUCGUACCCCAAACCGACACAGGUGGUCAGGUAGAGAAUACCAAGGCGCUUGAGAGAACUCGGGUGAAGGAACUAGGCAAAAUGGUGCCGUAACUUCGGGAGAAGGCACGCUGACACGUAGGUGAAGUGAUUUACUCAUGGAGCUGAAGUCAGUCGAAGAUACCAGCUGGCUGCAACUGUUUAUUAAAAACACAGCACUGUGCAAACACGAAAGUGGACGUAUACGGUGUGACGCCUGCCCGGUGCCGGAAGGUUAAUUGAUGGGGUCAGCGCAAGCGAAGCUCCUGAUCGAAGCCCCGGUAAACGGCGGCCGUAACUAUAACGGUCCUAAGGUAGCGAAAUUCCUUGUCGGGUAAGUUCCGACCUGCACGAAUGGCGUAAUGAUGGCCAGGCUGUCUCCACCCGAGACUCAGUGAAAUUGAACUCGCUGUGAAGAUGCAGUGUACCCGCGGCAAGACGGAAAGACCCCGUGAACCUUUACUAUAGCUUGACACUGAACAUUGAGCCUUGAUGUGUAGGAUAGGUGGGAGGCUUUGAAGUGUGGACGCCAGUCUGCAUGGAGCCGACCUUGAAAUACCACCCUUUAAUGUUUGAUGUUCUAACGUGGACCCGUUACCCGGGUUGCGGACAGUGUCUGGUGGGUAGUUUGACUGGGGCGGUCUCCUCCUAAAGAGUAACGGAGGAGCACGAAGGUUGGCUAAUCCUGGUCGGACAUCAGGAGGUUAGUGCAAUGGCAUAAGCCAGCUUGACUGCGAGCGUGACGGCGCGAGCAGGUGCGAAAGCAGGUCAUAGUGAUCCGGUGGUUCUGAAUGGAAGGGCCAUCGCUCAACGGAUAAAAGGUACUCCGGGGAUAACAGGCUGAUACCGCCCAAGAGUUCAUAUCGACGGCGGUGUUUGGCACCUCGAUGUCGGCUCAUCACAUCCUGGGGCUGAAGUAGGUCCCAAGGGUAUGGCUGUUCGCCAUUUAAAGUGGUACGCGAGCUGGGUUUAGAACGUCGUGAGACAGUUCGGUCCCUAUCUGCCGUGGGCGCUGGAGAACUGAGGGGGGCUGCUCCUAGUACGAGAGGACCGGAGUGGACGCAUCACUGGUGUUCGGGUUGUCAUGCCAAUGGCACUGCCCGGUAGCUAAAUGCGGAAGAGAUAAGUGCUGAAAGCAUCUAAGCACGAAACUUGCCCCGAGAUGAGUUCUCCCUGAGACUUAAAGUCUCCUGAAGGAACGUUGAAGACGACGACGUUGAUAGGCCGGGUGUGUAAGCGCAGCGAUGCGUUGAGCUAACCGGUACUAAUGAACCGUGAGGCUUAACCUUACAACGCCGAAG